UUCCAGGCUCGCUGCUGACCCUGUAUACUGUAAUUGAAAUAUUAUAGAGAUUUCCUGUCCACUAGAUGUAAAAGAAGCUAAGACUAUUGUUGGCCAUCUACUUCUGCAGUAAUGCUUUAAAACUGCCUUCCCUUAGGCUAAUUAUAUGAUAAUGUUGCAAUGGUUUGUAUUGAAAUAUUUAUCUUAGAAUUCUCCCAAAAAGGACUCACAUUCAAGGAAUACAAUACUGGUUUUCUACUACUCUCUUUUACUAGUAUUCAGUUUUCUUGCACAUAAGAGAUUGUAUGUAUUGUAACAUCCUAAACCCGAAGGUCCCAACUUGUCCCUUUUAAGGUGUGUACUUCAGUAAAGCAUAUUGCUUAAAAAGGUUAUAGCCAAGGUGUGCUGGAAAA